CCGGGUGUAGCGCAGUUUGGCAGCGCAUCUGUUUUGGGAACAGAGGGUCGCAGGUUCAAAUCCUGCCACUCGGA
rnacentral:tRNA from 3 species